rnacentral:rRNA from 1 species
GAUGAACGCUAGCGGGAGGCCUAAUACAUGCAAGUCGAACGGUAAGGUCCCUUCGGGGAUACACGAGUGGCGGACGGGUGCGUGACGCGUACGAAACAUACCUUCAACAGGGAGAUACCUCCGGGAAACUGGAAAUAAUACCCCAUAGUAUUGAGAUAUCGCAUGAUAUUUCAAUUAAAGACUUUGGUCGGGUUGAAGAUUGUCGUGCGUCUGAUUAGCUAGUUGGUGAGGUAACGGCUCACCAAGGCGACGAUCAGUAGCUGGUCUGAGGGGAGUGAUCAGCCACACUGGAACUGAGACACGGUCCAGACUCCUACGGGAGGGCAGCAGUAGGGGAA